GAGUCUACAGCCCUCGUGAUGGAAAGCGAGCGAGAGUGAUGAGACUGCGAGCGUGGUUGGUGCUAGGCAGGAGUUGUCCAUCUGGGAGCAGAACAGCCGCUACUGUCACUGAGAUAAGUGUUUCUUUUGCUGAGGGUUCUGCUCUUCCAGGUAGGGACACCUCAUUAGGUGGGGCUGGGUUUGUAAGAAAAGGCUCCUGAGUAGCUGUCAUUAUGAGGGAGACAAGGUCCCCAUUUUCAGGGGCUGGUCAGUUCUUUGGCCAGUAGUGGUGUGUCAUCUGCAGCGGAAGGUUAGAUCCCUGCAGAUGACUGCAGGUGGUGUGUUUCUUGCCUUUCUCCUGUGUUUCUCUCUUCGUUCUCUACGGUGUUGGCCAACACUCACGCUCUUCCUGUCUUUGCCUCUCCUUGUGCUGUCUUCCUUCAUAGGACACAGGCAGGCAUGCUCAGAGUGUAUCCCCACGGCCCAUGUAUCAGGAGCCAUGAAGAAGUAGAAGGGGACAAAAAUAAUGCAGAGCAGUGGGCACGAGAGUGGAGCGGUGACUGUCAGUGUUAACCUGGUCUCUGUUCAUCGAGUGGGGCUGAUGUUGAUGGGACUGGAGAGGGAGGCAGGGAUGAGGGCAAGAUUUCACACGCCAUUAGAGCUUUGUGUAGCGCUGGCUCUCACUUGGCUUUUUGCAGCUGCUCUUGCAGAGGGAUUGUCCAGGAGUCCCAGCAGGAGGAGAAACUGGCAGAGGUGGAUCUGAGCAGCCUGGACGUUCUUCUAAGCAGAUGUGAACAGUCCUCAGCUUUCUGCAUUCUGAACACCUGUCUCUGAGUAAGAGUACCAAGGCAGAAAAAAUCACGCGUCAGUCUACUGCCCUCAUGCGAUGGAAAGCGAGCGAGAGCGACUAGACCGUAAGCAUUGUUGGUGCAAGGCAGGAGCCGUCCAGCUGGGACUGGAGCAGUCUCUGUUGUCAGUGAGAAAAGAGUCUGGUUUGAUGAGGGCUCUGCUCACGGCCCACCUGGCUCCAGGUAGGGACACCCUGUUAGCUGGUUCCUGACCAGGUGUGCUUACAAGGUUGAGAAGGUCCCCAAUUUGAGGGGCUGAUCAUUUCUCUGUUCACAAGCAUGUAUCCUCUGCAGGAGAAGGUUGGAUCCAGGGGGAUGAAUCCAGCUGAGGAAUCGUCCAGGAGCAGCAGCUGAAGGAGAAGGUGGCAGACAUGGUGCUGAGGAGCCUGGACAUCCUUCUAAGGAGAGAUUAACAGUCCUCAGCUUUCUUCCUCCUACAUAACUGGCUGU